UACGGAAGGGGCAAGCGUUGUUCGGAAUCAUUGGGCGUAAAGGGCGCGUAGGUGGUUCUGUAUGUCUACCGUGAAAGCAUACAGCUCAACUGUAUUUUGUCGGUAGAAACUGCAGGACUUGAGGCUGGGAGGGGCUGGUGGAAUUCCCCGUGUAGCGGUGAAAUGCGUAGAGAUGGGGGAGAACACUCGUGGCGAAGGCGGCCAGCUAGACCAGUUCUGACACUGAGGCGCGACAGCGUGGGGAGCAAACAGG
rnacentral:rRNA from 1 species